rnacentral:misc_RNA from 1 species
AUAUAUAAUUAUUUGUUAAAUUUCAUGAUCUCAGUCGUAAUUCCACUGUUUGAAAUCUAAUUAUCCGCCGAUCUGCUCAACUUCAGACCCAGUUACCUCUUUCUCUCUCUCUCUUUAUGUGCAGUUGGCUCUUACUGGUACUCGAACUUGAGAUUUUAUAAGUAUGGAGAUAAUUGCUAUACCAUUGAGUUAAAAUUCAUCGGUGGAAUUAGUUUGAAG